ensembl:lncRNA
CGCAUGCCACCUAAAACAUACCUGUUUGGGUGUGUAUUUACACAGAAUUUAUGGAAAAUAAAUAUUUAGGACGUGUUUUGGUUUGGGUAUUUGUCAGCCAGUUAUGACCAUUUCUGCCUUGGACUAGAUGUCAUUUAAGUAAUUUAAUAAUUGAAACCCUUUUUUUUUUGUUAAUUUUAAUUAUUCUUUUGCACCACUAUAUCCUGAGUGCCAGUCUGUUUUUGCCCGCAGGCCAACUCCUUACAGCCUGGUAGAUCAAACGCCAUCUUGCCAACUCGUGUUUGUUCGCAACAUUUAGGAUUUCAAAUUGUGUUGUCCGCAAGAUCACAGCUGUCCUCAAACAAAUACCUGGCUAUGCUAAUCUUGUCCAACACUCUGGGUGUCUCCAAACUUUUCUGUUUAGCUGUGUAUUGAUCAGUCUGCUGACUAUGAGGCUACUGUUAUCACCCAGAUUGAAACAGCUUUAAAACGACCUCAACGAUCAAGGUCUCUGGCACCCGUAACGGCGCCACGUCCAUGGGCCGAACUGAGACCGGCUAUCCGGCGGUUCGCGGCGCUCGCUGGAGCAGUGGGUUUGACGCGCGGGCGAUGCACGCGGGGGACCGUGCCCAAGUCCGACUCCGCGUGGGCGCCUACGUGCCAGACGGCCUCGACGUGUAAAUCCAUCUGGUGGGUACAGUCGCCUCCACAGCUGCACGGCCCUCAGGAGGUGUACAUGCGGCGGUAGGGUCCCCCUCUUUUCUAAAUGUCCAUGCAGUGUCCCAAAUGGCACCCUAGUCCCUUGUUAGCACACAGUUCGCUAGCCCACGGCGGUAGGGAUUAUGGCAGAGCGCUGUGAAUUACCCCCAUAAUUCGAAAUUCUGUCUGUCUGUACUUCUGUCCGGGAAAUGUUCCGGUUAGGCUCCCAGAAAGUGAAAGGAACGCAGGAAGGCCGGACCGAAGGAGCGGAACAACAAGGACGCUGUGAAGCAGGCAGCGAGGUCAUUCUGAAACUCAACUGGAAGACAGAGGGAGGGAAAACAAAAGAGAAUCACUACGAUGUCCAAGCUUGUUUGAGAGUUACAUCGUGUUUCUGCUCCAUGUAGAAGGCCAUGUUUCUCUGGAGACCCCGGGGGAGUUUUACUAUAUUCAUAUAGAAUCCGCGCGGCUCGUCUGUGAGGCACAGGGUCUGCGUGGGCUGAGAUUCCACUCACCCAACAACAUGACCUAACAUCAUCGCCGCUCCAUCACUCAUCCCUUACCUUCUCGUUAGCCCGCCCUUCUCCUGACCCUCCAGCUCACCUCUCACAGUUCCUCCUCCAUCCAACUUCUCCGUCUUAUCCAUGCCCCCCCCCUCCACUCGGCUCACUUAUCUCGUCCACUUUCUCGCUCCCUCCUCCUCUCUCUCUCCUUGCCCUUUUCCCUUCUCUAUCGGCAUUUCUCUGCCUCUCUCUCCGUCUCCCGGUGUUGUGACUGAAUAACAGACAGUGAGUCAGAGCGUCAGGCCCUGGGUCUGCAUUCCAAAUGACACCCUAUAACCCAUGUAAGUGCACUUACUUUCACCAAACCCUACCAGGCCCCGGUCUAAAGGCGUGCACCAUGUAGGGGAUAGGGUGCCAGUUGGGGAUGCCGCCGAGGACGCCCGGCUCCGUGGCGCAGACGUGCCCACAGGGCGCCGGCAGACAUGCCCACAGGGCGCCGGCAGACAUGCCCACAGGGCGCCGGCAGACAUGCCCACAGGGCGCCGGCAGACAUGCCCACAGGGCGCCGGCAGACAUGGCCACAGGGCGCCGGCAGACAUGGCCACAGGGCGCCGGCAGACAUGGCCACAGGGCGCCGGCAGACAUGCCCACAGGGCGCCGGCAGACAUGGCCACAGGGCGCCGGCAGACAUGGCCACAGGGCGCCGGCAGACAUGCCCACAGGGCGCCGGCAGACAUG